UCCCCUCUUUCUUCCUCCUCCAUCCUUUUCCUCUCCUCUCCUUCCUUCCUCUUCCCUGCCACAACCCCGCCCCUCCCUCCUUCAAUCUGGACUCGACUAAAUCGCGAUCACAAUGAUCGCGAUCUAGUCGAGUCCAUAUCUGGUCGUGGCUAGAUCGGGGUGGAGAGAAAGGGGUGGUGGGGUUGUGGCGGGAAAGGAGAGGAGAA
rnacentral:lncRNA from 1 species